GUGGGGAAUUUUGGACAAUGGGCGAAAGCCUGAUCCAGCCAUGCCGCGUGCAGGAUGAAGGCCUUCGGGUUGUAAACUGCUUUUGUACGGAACGAAAAGACUCCUUCUAAUAAAGGGGGUCCAUGACGGUACCGUAAGAAUAAGCACCGGCUAACUACGUGCCAGCAGCCGCGGUAAUACGUAGGGUGCAAGCGUUAAUCGGAAUUACUGGGCGUAAAGCGUGCGCAGGCGGUUAUAUAAGACAGAUGUGAAAUCCCCGGGCUCAACCUGGGAACUGCAUUUGUGACUGUAUAGCUAGAGUACGGUAGAGGGGGAUGGAAUUCCGCGUGUAGCAGUGAAAUGCGUAGAUAUGCGGAGGAACACCGAUGGCGAAGGCAAUCCCCUGGACCUGUACUGACGCUCAUGCACGAAAGCGUGGGGAGCAAACAGGAUUAGAAACCCGAGUAGUCC
rnacentral:rRNA from 1 species